rnacentral:rRNA from 1 species
UACGUAGGGGGCAAGCGUUGUCCGGAUUUAUUGGGCGUAAAGAGCGUGUAGGCGGUUUGGUAGGUUCGUUGUGAAAACUCGAGGCUCAACCUCGAGACGCCGGCGGAAACCAUCAGGCUAGAGUCCGGAAGAGGAGAGUGGAAUUCCGUGGUGUAGCGGUGAAAUGCGCAGAUAUCAGGAAGAACACCCGUGGCUAAGGCGGCUCUCUAGUACGGUACUGACGCUGAGACGCGAAAGCGUGGGGAGCGAACAGG